rnacentral:rRNA from 1 species
CAAGCGGAUCUCUUAAAGCUGUUCUCAGUUCGGACUGCAGUCUGCAACUCGACUGCACGAAGCUGGAAUCGCUAGUAAUCGCGGAUCAGCACGCCGCGGUGAAUACGUUCCCGGGCCUUGUACACACCGCCCGUCACACCAUGGAAGUCUGCAAUGCCCGAAGCCGGUGGCCUAACCACUUAUGUGGAAGGAGCCGUCUAAGGCAGGGCAGAUGACUGGGUGAAGUCGUAACAAGGUAGC